GCCUACGGCCAUACCACCCUGAACACGCCCGAUCUCGUCUGAUCUCGGAAGCUAAGCAAGGUUGGGCUUGGUUAGUACUUGGAUGGGAGACACCAUGGGAAUACCAAGUGUUGUAAGCU
rnacentral:rRNA from 1 species